UGGGAGUCAAUAAAGAGGGGGAGGGGAUUUGGGAUCACUCUCUCUUCCACUCUGGCCUGGCAGCAGCAGCAGCAGCAGCAGCAGCAUCAUCAUCAUAGUGACCACAUGUAGUUUUUUGUUGUUUCAUUCUUUAUCUUUUCUGGUGAGUCCGGUGGUCUAGUUUUCAGUGUUUUGUUUCUGUUUGUCAGGGUUUAGUUUGGGGUUUUGUUGUUUAGGGGUAAAGGGAAGCACCCGGUUCCGCCGGCUCUGUAAGAGCUGGGCUGAGGUGGCUUCCCCUCUUUUGUUUCUUUUUGCCGGCUCACCAGUUUAGUUAGUAAUGGGACAACUUUAGGGGUUAGUUUGGUUUUUUACUUAACUUAGCUCUUUGGUUAAUUAUUGGUCAAUUAUUUCUGUGUUGCACUUAAAGGGACCGUUUGUAACUUUUUACACGUAUAAAUCUAUCGGGUCAGUGUCCCAUGCGCACUCCCAUAUGUGCGCUCACGUGUGACUACGCUGUUCAGACAAGACUCCAACACAAACUACACGAGUAGUAUAUAGAUUGUGGCUUUGUGCGUGCAUGUGAAAUGCGCCUGCAUGUGUGUGUGUGUGUGCUGGUGUGUGUGCGUGGGUGUGUGUGCGCGUCCACCCCCCCCCACCUGGUGAAAAUUUCUUUAGGAGAUGUAUCUGUGAUGUAAUGAUUUGUUAACAUCUAAAUUGUUAAAUGUGUGUUAGUACACCACUAUUUUUUGAUGGUAGUCAUCUCCCAAGAAAGCGGUGCAAUUUCGGUAGAGUUACAAUAUAGAGGUUUUGUUUUUGUUUUUUCCAUGUACUGUGUAUGGGGCAAGCUCACGCCCUGUCAACCAUGCGUAUUCAUGAGAUUGUAUGUCAUUAGCUCCACCUCGUUGUUGGCGUGUUUACAUGUGCUUAUUGUGUAUAAAAUGCAGUCAUCUGAGGUCUUCGUUUUUACCACUUCAUCAGCAACUUUGAAGAGGCCGCCGCCGUACACAUUUCUUGCAUUUUCACAUCGUUGGGGUAUUUUUUUACCAAUGGCUUCUAUUCCAUGUUAUACGGCCCGUGUUAGCAACCGCGACGACAGAGGUAUUAAAAACAUUCCACCUGCUGAUAAUGAAGUACCAUCAACCAGCGGCUGUGGAACACGUGUUCAGAAGAGAGGGAUCUUCCAACCCAUAAACCAACUUUCAAACGAAGAAGAUUCUGACUUUGAGGAACCAAAGCACAGGCUUAAAAGA